GGCGCAGCUGAGCCGGAUCCGGAGGGGAAGCCCCCCGGGUCCCAUAUAGCUGAGCCGGUAGGGAGCCGCGCUCCCGAGCCAUGUGGCGCGAACAGAGCGCGCAAACAGGCGCGCUCUGUAAGAGCACGCCGGCGUUUGCGCAGGCAUUCGUGCCGGCGGGCGGGCUGGGAGGGCCAGGAGUGGGACUCCUGUAGGGGUAGGGUGUAGACACCGCACAGGUCUACAAACAGCAGCUUAUAGAAUGGUGUCUACGAGGAGUGCUGCUAGGGCCUCUGCCCAGGGGGGCAAGGCUACCUGGGGCAGGUCUGAGGCCUCCACCCAGACCGAGCCCAUGGGGGAGCUGAUGUCCCUCUACCUCCUGGCCUGUGGGGGAUCCCCAGCAGGGCUGGGGGGGGCAGAGAUUGGGGGCCCCCACACCUGUCCGGCAGGUGCCCGUCUUAGGGCUCUGGAGGCGCAGGUGAGGGAGCUCUGGGAGGAGGUUAGCAGGCUGAUGGGGAUCAGGGAGGUGGAGGAUGAAAUUGACAGUUAUUUCCUUUCCCUGCAGGCCCAGGCACCCAAGGAAGAAGCAGCCCGGGAAGUGCCCUCCGCAGCAGAGUGGCAGACGGUCACAGCCAGGACCAGAGCAGCUCGCAGCGAACCGGUACCAGCUUCUCCAGUCUGACUGGUGAACAGAUCAAGAGAUCCACGAGGACCCAGAGGAGGAGGCGACGAGUGCUCAUCAUAGGCGACUCCAUCCUGAGAGGUACGGAAGGACCCAUCUGUCGCCAGGACCCCUCGGCACGAGAGUGACCGGACGAGGAAGACGGCAGGAGAACUGCAUCUGAGAAACCAACUGGUGGCUUCAGCAGUGGUGUCUUGAGGCAGGCUUCGGCUUCCUGGACAAUGACCCGCACAUCGCGACGAGGGACAUGCUCAGCUGGGAUGGGCUUCACCUGUCCCCCAAAGUGUCCCUGGCUCAUUGGCUGUGAUUCCCAUAUUUAAAAGAAGAAACCAAAGAAGAGAUUCAAUGUCAAGUGCUUAAAAGACUGAUAAAAUCAAUCAUCUCUAGCAGUGCCUCAGUGAGAAACUCUUUGACCUCCAUGAUGAUUUUGACACUACCAAUCACUGGGAGAGCUUCAAGGAAGGUUUUCAUGAGGUGUAUCAAGAAUCUCUAGGCUUCUCCAGCAAGAAACACCAAGGCUGGUUUGAUGAGAAUGAAAGGGAAAUUCAAGCUUUCAUUGAAGGAGAGCCUUCAAAACUUGGCAGAAUUACAUCAGCUCCAAAUGGAAGCAAGACAUUUACCUCAAUCAGGGCUUGUAGUAGGGAUGAUAUCUUUUAUUAGACCAACAAGAUUUUUGCAAAAAAAAAAAAUUCUUUAAUUGUUGGUCUAAUAAAAGAUAUCAUCUCUACUAUGAGCCCUGAUUGCUUUUUCCUCUAGAGCAAUACGGCUACAACCUGCAUACGAAACAUUUAUCUCCACACUAAAGGUAAGACCCAAAGGAAAAUUCAGGAGAGAAAGAAAAAGUGGUGGCAGUACAAAGCAAAACAGAUUCAAGAGCUUGCUGGCAGCUUUAACAUGCAUUGUUUCAUCAGUGCAGCCGAAGCUAUUUAUGGGCCAAGUACACACAUGUCCCUCUGAGUUCCAAGGGUGGAAAAACACUCUUUAAAGAUAGCUCCACCAUCAAUGCAUGGUGGAAGGAGCACUCUCAUAAACUCCUGAGUCAAGACAAUACCAUCAAAGCCAUUCUAUAACAUCUCAUUAAGGACUACUUUGAAGAUCCAUCGAUUUAUCAAGAAGCAUUGAAACCCAUUAAGCAGAUGAAAAACAAGACACCACUUCCAGCAUUGAAUCCAUGUUCAUAUGGUACCAGCCCUCUUGGACAGGGCAUGUCAUAAGGAUACUUGACAACCAGCUCCCCAAAUAGGUCCUAUACUCCCAACUCACUGAUACUCACUGCUCUAGCAGUGGACUUAAAGGAAAGAUUAAAGGAUACCUUGAAGGCCAUUCUGCCAAAAUGCAGUAUUAACAUCAGUACUUGGGAGACACAAGCACUGAAUCAUCCCUAAUGACACUGUGAUCAGCAAUCAUUUUGAGCAAACUUACUUCACUAUGGAGGUGGAUAGUCAAGAGAGAAAAAGGGAAAGAGCUGUGACCUGACAUAACCAGCAUCUACUUCUUUCUCCUCAAAUUAUUUACCAUGUGUGCAGUCAAACAUGCAGAUCUUGGAUUAGCCUCCACAGUCAUCUAUGGAUUCACUGAUGACCUCUCUAUUUACUGGAAGACUGUCAUCCUCAUAUAAAGGGAUUGCAAAGGAUGGCUUUUAAGACCUCAUGGUAUCUUGAUCCUCCAGGGAAUAUACAUCAUGAACUAUUCACAUUGGGAAAGAGUUCACAGCUCCCAGAAAUCCUACAUAUGUUCAUAAGAUAUCCACAGUUCAUGCAGUCUGCUUUAAAGUAGUGAGCAAUGUAUUGUCAGCCUCAGCUCUCACUCAAAAUGCAUUAUGUUCAGGUGUGGCCCCCUCCAGUGUAGAAAGAUAUUAACAAACUAGGACAGUUGAGAAAAGAGCAACUAAUACACUAUGAAAGCUAGGAGACUGUCCUUCUAAAGAGGACUAAAUGCUAAUUAUUCACAUCUGGGAUCAGGAUGUUUUGUAGGAUAUGGGAUUAUUUUCAAAAAGUAUUAAGUGAUUAAAGCAACAAUAUUUCAGCUAUUUUUUCUGUCCAGCUCAGUGAGGCCAAUAGGUUGAGUGAAAGCACUUCAAAGUAGAAUUUAGUUCACAGAGCUAUGAUUUAUUUAUGCUAGUACAAAAGGUCAUAAUUUGGGUAAUAAAGUAAAAUUUUAAAAGUAUAUUUUAGAUAAGUGUGUUAUGAAACAAAUAACACUGAGAUGUAGAAUAAUCUUCCGAAAAGAAGCGAAUCUCUAUUGCUUGGGUAGGAUAGAAUCUUAAAAAUGUAUUACAAGGAACUAUAUCUCAGAUACAAUGAUGAUGUAGAUGAUCCACCUGGACUUCUUCAUUUCUGUGUCUGUGACUACAGAUGUUUCAUGUAUUCAAAGAUAGUCUUUACUUGCAUCAGUCUAGGACUAUUUGUGCACAGUUUAACAUAGGUUAUUUUAAUGAAGACAGAGUUUUAAUUAAGACAGAGUCCUUGUUCCCACUGGAGGGUAUGGUGACAUUUUCACUUAAUUCAGCAGAAGCAGGUCCUUAUACAAUUUGGUGUUUCUGUGGGCCUAAAGAAUUGUGUGUGAGAAUUAAAACAAUGCAAAAAUCCUUUCUGAAGUCAGGUAACUGGAAAUGAAAAACAGAAUCAAACACUUCACCUGUGCAAAUAGAAAAUGAAGCUGCACAGAAUCAUUGUUUACUGCCAAUACUUUAUUUUCACACAGGUGAACUUUACUCUAAAAGGGAAAGCUGACUCGAUCAAGUUGCUUUUGGAAACCCUAAGCACUUCAAAGUGAAUAACGUAUAAGUGUAAAUCAAUAGAGUAAUGACAUGAUACUUUUCAAGGGUAUUUGAUGCCUUUGCAGAUUCAAUUCAGAAAGCUACCUUACAAAUUCUCACUCAUCCUUGUUGCAAUUAAUUUUUGAAUGUGUGUACCUUGAUGCUUAUCCUUUGUACAUUAUAUAGUUAUUUACCUGUAUAAAUAAAUAGUGACUAGUGAUACUGAAUGGAGAUGGCAUAGUGCUUUUAACACUAAGACUUUUGCAAAAGAGCAGUUUGUAGACUAUGAAAAACUUCAUCCAAAUCAGUCUUGUUUAAAUGACAGCUGGCUGCCUCAGGGGUGGGGGAAUUAAAUAUCUUUUAUGGAGUAUGUAUUUGGAAAUAAAAUUCAAAUGUAAUAGUCAAAUAUUCAUUUAAAUUUUGUACUGGAGAAGCUGCUUAUGAUAUGGAUAAGGUGACAAAUGUAGGUUUGAUCAAUUGGCACUUUCUUGCUCAAGUCAUCUGCCUCUUACCUACAUCCCAAAUCUUCUCUGCUUGGUCUGACAGCAUAAUUUUACUUCUUUUCAUUUUUCUUAGCAUUGCAGAAUAGGUGUCAUAACUUUUUAAAUUAGAUCUCAGCUAGUAUUUGUUUUGCCUAUUUAUUUUAUCAAAUGCUGUUUAGUGUUAUUUCAUGUUUUUUAGCUGAGAAGAAAUGAGACUUGCUUGUGUCAUGUCUUAUGUCACUUUCACGAAGGAAAAUUCUGGAAAUCUCUGUCAAACUAAGAAAAAAAUCACUACUAUCUGGAACUAGCUGUUGGCUGGUCUGAAUAAUUAUUUCAAAUAUAGUAGUUCAGGACUUCUUUGACUCUGCCUCUUUGAAUUUAUUCCCAACAAACAUACAUUGGAUAUAGCUAUAGAUGUAAAAAAUUAAGAUGAUAUUUUUGGCAUUUACUAUACACUCACUUAAUUAUUAAAACAUUGCUUUGAUUUGAUUUCUAUUUGUGAAUAGAAAUUUGUGUGUGAUGACUACAUCACACGUGUGAUUACUCUUGCAAAGGACAUCCUCCAAACUCAACUGAACUCAUGAAAUACUUCAGUUGACUUAAAUGGAUUUGGUAUAAAAGCCUGAAGAAUGGCUUCCUCAGCGUAUGAUGAAAUGGAAAGUCAAAAAAGCAUGUAGUAAUCCUAUUGUAAAAGGAGCAUUUUCACCUUUAGAAUGCAAUAAAGCAAAAUAUUUCUUUUAACACAAUGAUUCUGCAAAGCAGUAUUGGAAAAUAUUGUCAUGUGAGGAUGAAAAUUGUCUAAUUGCAUUUGUAAAGUAGAAUUUUUUAAAUGUUUUGUGAAAAAAAUACCAGGAUUGUUUUUAUUAUUAACACCAGCACUUCUUAGCUAGUAAUUCAUGUUUGAAUAUUGAUUUCCAUUUUCUUUUUUAAUGAAGAAACACUCCCUGUCUUUGUAUAUUCCAUGCUGUUGCUAACCUAGAUAGCGAUUUUGAUAAACUAAAUGGAGAUUAGAACAAACAACAGAGAUCUUACUCAAAAAUGUUUAUUGUAAAAAAAGUGGCUAGAAAACAACGUAACAAAUUUCACUUCACGCUAUCUUCAAGUUAUCUAUAGAUGCAGCCAUAGGUAACAUUUUGCUUUCAUUCAUAACACAUUCAAUCAUAUAAAAAUAAAAAUAUUUACAUUAUGUCCACAUACUUUACAAAAUCAUUAAUAAAAAAGGCACUUGGAGGGGAAUUGCUGAACAUAUUGCAUUUCCUUUGUGCAUUAAAAAAAAAAUUAAAAUUCAUU